AUGAGGCUGUGGGGUCUUCUCCUCUGCCUGGUGACAGCUCCCCAAGGUGUGCUGUCUGACGUGACACUGCAGGAGUGGGGCCCAGGACUGGUGGAGCCCUCGCAGACCCUCUCCCUCACCUGUGCUGUCUCUGGAGUCUCCAUCACAACCACCUAUUAUGGUUUCAGCUGGAUCCUCCAGGCCCCGGGGAAGGGACUCGAGUGGAUGAGGGGCAUAGAUUAUGAUGGUGACAAGUACUACAGCCCAUCUCUCAAGAGCCGCACCUCCAUUUCCAGAGACACAUCCAAGAACCAGAUCUCCCUGCAGCUGAGCUCUGUGACCCCCGAGGACAUGGCCGUGUAUUACUGUGCAAGCUGCACAGUGAGGGGAAGUCCGUGUGUCCUGUCCCAGGUGCUGGUGCAGGUGGCGGGCCAAGACUAUGGGAGACCCUCUCCCUCCCUGCUCGGUCUCUGGACACUGCAUCACAGACAGUGCUGA